rnacentral:rRNA from 1 species
ACUCCUACGGGAGGCAGCAGUGGGGAAUAUUGGACAAUGGGCCACAAGCCUGAUCCAGCAAUUCUGUGUGCACGAUGAAGGUCUUCGGAUUGUAAAGUGCUUUCAGUUGGGAAGAAGAAAGUGACGGUAUCAACAGAAGAAGCGACGGCUAAAUACGUGCCAGCAGCCGCGGUAAUGUC